rnacentral:rRNA from 1 species
UCGAGGAUCUUCGGCAAUGAGCGCAAGCUUGACCGAGCGACGCCGCGUGAGCGAUGAAGGCCUUCGGGUUGUAAAGCUCUUUAGUGGGGGAGAAAAGCCCGCAAGGGUGUGAUCUAUCCCAAAAAUAAGCACGGGCUAAGUUCGUGCCAGCAGCCGCGGUAAGACGAACCGUGCGAACGUUGUUCGGAAUAACUGGGCUUAAAGGGCGCGUAGGCGGGCUAACAAGUCUGGGGUGAAAUCCCGCGGCUCAACCGUGGAACUGCCUCAGAUACUGUCGGCCUUGAGGAAGGUAGGGGCAUGCGGAACUAACGGUGGAGCGGUGAAAUGCGUUGAUAUCGUUAGGAACUCCGGUGGCGAAAGCGGCGUGCUGGACCUUUUCUGACGCUGAGGCGCGAAAGCUAGGGGAGCAAACGGG